rnacentral:rRNA from 1 species
UACGUAGGUGGCAAGCGUUGUCCGGAUUUACUGGGCGUAAAGAGCGCGCAGGCGGUCGGAUAAGUCGAAUGUGAAAGCCCCCGGCUCAACUGGGGAGGGUCAUUCGAUACUGUUCGACUCGAAGGCAGGAGAGGGAAGUGGAAUUCCCGGUGUAGUGGUGAAAUGCGUAGAUAUCGGGAGGAACACCGGUGGCGAAAGCGCUCAUCUGGCCCAAUACUGACGCUGAGGCGCGAAAGCUAGGGGAGCAAACGGG